rnacentral:tRNA from 1 species
GCAAAAACCGAUAGGUUCCACCGAGAUUUGAACUCGGGUCGCAGGAUUCAAAGUCCUGAGUGCUAACCGCUACACCAUGGAACCGACGGC